ensembl:lncRNA
GCUCGUGUCACCUUAGUAGAAUUUUUAUUUUCAGUGUCAUAACAAGACUUUCAGUUUUUGAGCUGAGGGUACGAUGCAAAGCAAAAUUACUUUAUAGAGAUAUUACGUACAGACAGGGUACACAAUGGAUCAGACAGCAAACCGUGGAGGCACUAACUAACCUGCCUUAUUCUGCAGGCUGCAUGCCACUUGAGAUUUGACUCUGUGGUUGAAGGAUAUAGGUCUGAACCCGGUACACACUACGUGCUCCACAAACCUUUAUUGAACAAAACACCUAAAAUUAUAGUUGAUGUGACUGAAAACGGAAUCCUCAGGCCAGCCCCAUACUAUCUGGUAUAUAAGACAAUCAAGAGUAAACACAAUCAAGAGCACACACUUCUGCAUCAUGCUAGUGUGUAGAAACUCCACCAGGAUUAGGCAGCCAGCUCUUGAAGCAUCCAUGGAAAGAUCCCAGAUGUCCUGCAGAAACGUAAGCCACACGGAGGACUUCACGAGGAAGCUUAUUGGUGGAUAGGGAACCUUCUCCUUUCCACUCUGGAACUAUCUAAACAAGGAUCAGCAAAUUACAGACUGCUGCCCAAUUCUGUAAACAGCUGUGCUGGAACACAGUCCUAUUCAUGCAUAUAUCACACACGGUUGCUUUCAUGUUGUAAUGCAGAAUUAUGUAAUUGUGACAUGAAUUUAUGACCUGCGAUGGCUAAAAUAUUAUCUUGCCCUUUACAGAUAAAUAGCACCUGGCCCUGUUCUAAACAAAGGCGUGAGGUCUAAAGAGGGCAGAGGCUGCUGCGGAUUAUAAAACAUAUAAUGAGGGCCCAAGAUGACAGAUAACUCCCACAGGGUCUGACUGAUGAAACUUAAUCACUUUCUUUUCAGGGACAGAACACUCAGGGAGGAAAAAGGUUUUAACAAAUGGCGCUAGGACAAAUGGAUACCCACAUGCAAAAGAAUGAAGCUGAUGGAGUUCCCAUCAUGGCACAGCAGAAAGAAAUUUAACUAGGAUCCAUGAGGAUGCAGGCUCAAUCCCUGGCCUCGCUAAGUGGGUUAAGGAUCCGGUGUUACCAUGAGCUGUGGUGUAGGCUGGUAGCUGCAGCUUGAUUUGACCCCUAGCCUGGGAACCUCCAUAUGCCAUAGGUGUGGUCCUAAAAAGACCAAAAAAAAAAAAAAGAAUGACGCUGAAACCCUUCCUCACACCACAUGUAAAAAUAACCUCAAAUGGACUGAAGGCUGAAAUGUAUACAAUUUUUAGAAGUUACAUUGGAGUAAAUAGUUAUGACCUUGGUUUAGGCAAUGAAUUCUUAGAUAUAAUACCAAAAUCAUAAGCAAAAAUAACAAAAGAGAGAUAUAUUGUAUUUCAUCUAAUUAAAAACUUAUGUGCUUCAAAGGACACCAACAUGAAGGUAAAAAGACAACCCCCCAAAAGGGAGAAAAUAACUGUAUAUCACAUAUCUGCAAAAGAUUAAUAUAGAAGAAAAUGUAGGUGACCUUGGGCUUCAUGAUGACCUUUUAGGUACAAUAUCAAAAGCAUGAUCUGUGAAGGAAAAAAUGGAUAGGAUAGAAUUCACUAAAAUUAAAGUCUCUCUGUGAAAGGUACUGUUAAAAGAAUGAAAAGACAUGCCACAGACUGGGAAAAAAUAUCUGUAGAACACAUAUCUGAUAAAGAACUGGUCUCCAAAAUAUACUUUAAAAAACCUCUUAAAUCUCAACAACCAACUUAUUUAAAAAGUGAGCAAGAUUCCUGGCCCAGGAACUUUCCCAGGCCAUGGACAUGGGUAAAAAAAGAAAAAGAAAAAAGUGAGCACGAGAUCAGGACACUUCAUCAAAAAAAAUUAGAGAGACGAUAAAUAAACGAAUGAAAAAAACGCUGAACAUAUGUCUUUGGGGAAUUGUAAAUUAAAACAAAAAUGUGAUACUACCGUACACCUAUCGGAUGGCCAAAAUCCAAAACACCAACACCGUCAAAUUCUGGUGAGGAUGUGGAACAAGGGGACUCUCAUUCAUGCUGGUGGGGGUGCAUAAUGGGAUACAGUCACUUUGGAAGACAAUUUGGAAGUUUCUUAUAAAAAGCACCCUUACCAUAUGCUCCAACUAUCACACUCCUUCGUAUUUACACAAAUGAGUUAAAAACUUUUGUCCACACAAACCAACAUACAAAUGUUUACAGCAGCUAUUUUUUGGCCAUGUCCAUGGCAUAUGGAAAUUCCUGGGGCAGGAAUUAAAUGUGUACCACAGCUGUAACCAGAACCACAGCAGUAUCAACGCUGGAUCCUUAAACCUGGUGAGCCAUGAGGGAGCUCCGUAGCAGCUAUUUUUUUUAUAAUUGCCAAAACUUGACAGCAGCCAAGAUUUCCUUCAAUAGGUGAAUGGACAAACAAACCGGAAGAUCCAGACAAUGGAAUGUUACUCAAUACAAAAAGAAAUGAGCCAUCAUACCAUGAAAUGACAUGGAAAAACCUUACAUGCAUAUUGCUAAGUGAAAAAUCCAAUCCAGAAAGGCUACAUACUGUAUGAUUCCAACUACAUGACAUUCUGAAAAAGGCAAAACUACAGAGACAGUGAGAAAGUCAGUGGUUGCCAGGGAUUCAGAGGGAUGAAUAUGCGGAGCACAGGGUAUUUUUAAGGCACUGAAAAUACUCUGACGAUGCUGUAAUAAUACUGCAUAUAACAUUAUGGUACCUCAGAAAACUAAAUAUAGAACUACUAUAUGAUCCAGUAAUCCCACUCCUGGGCAAAUAUGCGGACAAAACAUUCAUUCAAAAAGAUACAUGCAAAGAGGCCUGAACCUCAUGAGAUUAAGAAGGCGGAGUAGAAGGACUGGAGCUCACCUUCUCUCAUAAAAGCAACAAAAUGACAACCCACCGCUGAACAACCUUUGACCAAAUAGACUCCAAACUAUCAAAGAAGCUAUCCUACCCCAGAAGACAAAAAGUCACCUUCUCUCAUAAAAGCAACAAAAUCACAACCACUGAACAAUCUUCAACCAAAUAGACUGCAAACUAUCAAAGAAGAUAUCCUACUCCAGAAGACAAAGAGGAGGCCAGGAGGGGUGAUUACAUGACAUAAGCAACCCCAUACCCGCCAGGUGGGCAGCCCACAGACUGGAAAGUAACUGUUAUCACAGAGACUCGCCUACAGGAGAGUUCUGAGCCCUACAUCAGGUCCCCACACCUGGGGAUCUGGCAUCGGGAGAAGGAGCCCCAGGAGCAUUUGGCAUUGAGGGCCAGUGAGGCUUGUGCACAGCAGCUCUAUGGGACUGGGGGAAAUGGAGACCCCUUUCUUAAAAGGCACACACAGGCUUUCAUGUGCACUGGAUCCCAGGGCAAGGCAGAGACUCCGUAGGAAUCUGGGUCAGACCUGACUGUGGUUCUUGGAGGAUCUCCUGGGAAAACAGGGUGUAACUCUGGCUCACUGUGGGAGAAGGACAUUGGCAAAGGUCUUGGGAAUAAUCAUCAGGCUGCACUACCCUAGAGAUGGCCAUUUUGGAAAAACCUGACCCCACCUAUCAGGGCUGAGAAGCCCCAGGCCAAACAAUAAUCCUGGUGGGAUCAUGGGCCCACUCAUCAGUAAACAGGCUGCCUAGAGACCCCCCAGGCACACGGCCACCUCUGAUCUCACCCAGACAAAGCCCCACCCACCAGAGGGAUAAGAAUCAGCUCCACCCACCAGUGGGCAAGCACCAGUCCCUCCCAUCAGCAAGCUCCUGGUACCAACUUCAGCCACAAAGGGGGGCAGACAUCAGAAGCAAGAAAGGCUACAACUCCACUGUCUGCAAAAAGGAGACCACACCAAAAAUCUAUACAAAAUGAAAAGGCAGAGAAGUAUGACUCAGGAAAGGGAGCAAGAAAAAAACCUCAGAAAAACAGCUAAGAGAUCUGGACAUUAUCAACCUCCAUGAAAAACAGAUCCUUUAACAGAUCCUUUAACAGACGAUAGUGAAGAUGACUCAAGAUCUUGGAAAUAAACUGGAGGAAAAGACUGAUAAAUUACAAGAAACUCCGAGCAAAGAAAUAGAAGAUUUAAGGGUUAAGCAAAUAGAAAUGCAAAAUACAAUAACUGAAAUAAAUAAUUCAUUAGAAGCAACCAAUAGCAGAAUACAACAGGCAGAACGAAUGAGCGAGGUGGAGGACAGACCAGUAGAAAUCACCAAUGCGGAACAGAAAAAAGAUUGAAAAGAAAUGAAGACAGUCUAAGAGAACUCUGGGACAAUGUUAAAUGCACCAACAUCCAUAUUUUAGGGGUACCAAAAGGAAAAGAGAGAGAAAGGGCCAGCAAAAAUAUUGGAAUAAAUAGCCAAAAACUUCCCUAACAGGGGAAAGGAAUCACUCACUCAAAUCCAGAAAGCACAAUGAGUACCAUUUAAAAUAAACCCAAGGAGGAACACCCCAAGACACAUUAACCAAACUGAUCAAAAUUAAAAACAAAGAAAAAACACUGAAAGCAGCUAGGGAAAAGAAACAAAUAGCAUACAAGGGAACCCCAAUAAGCUUAUCAGCAGAUUUUUCAGCAAAAACUCUGCAGGCCAGAAGGGAGAGGCACAAUACACUUAAAGUGAUGAAAGGAAAAAAACCUCAACCAAGAUUACUCUACCCAGCCAGGCUCUCAUUCAGAUUUGAAGGAGAAAUCGAAAGCUUUACAGACAAGCUAAAGCUAAGAGAAUUCAGCACUACUAAACCAGCUUUACAACAAAUACUAAGGGAACUUCUCUAGGUGGAAAAGAAAAGGCCACAACUAGAAACAAAAAUGCCACAAAUGACAAGGCUCACCAGUAAAGGCAUACAUAGCAAAGGUAAGAAAUCAUCCACACACAAAUACGCUAACAAAAUCAGAAAUCGUGAGAAGAGGAGGAUACAAAUGCAGGCACUGACACUGGAGAUGCAUUUUCAAUUAAGAGACCAACAACUUAAAACAAUCUUGCAUACAUAUAGACUCCUACAUCAAAACUUCAGGGUAACUGGAAACCAAAAAUCUACAAUGGAUACACGCACAAAUAAGAAAAAGCAAUCCAAAUACAACACUAAAGAUAGUCAUCAAGAUAUAAGAGAACAAGAGAAGAGGGGAAGAAAAAAGAGCAACAAAAAUCCAAAACAGUUAAUAAAAUGGCAAUAACAUACAUAUCAAUAAUUACCUUACCAUGUAAAUGGACCAAAUGCCCCAACCAAAAGAC